GAUAUUCUUCUAAAUAAGUCACGAUGAGCUCUGUGGCGCCGGCAGGGAGGUUAGCCGUUGAGGCAUCACAUGGUGUUGUCCCCGCCAGUUGGUAGAUCGAAGAAAGGAUUCACCAAAGAUGGCGACGGACUUCCCCAUGACUCCAGUGGACAGGUUGCCUAUUUUUGCUCAUGAGGCCUGCGGCGCUGUCAUUUUAGUGAAAAUGGUACAGGGUGGGGAUGGUAUGCCCAAAGUUCAUUCAUUGGGCGGAUCCAGAUUGGGGGUGGUUGAAGCAGGGGUCAGUGCCGGAGCCGGGUUCAGUGGUACUGGGUACGGCGACCAAAUAAGUGUUGAUGGUGGAGGUGGGGCAGUGUCGGAUUUCAAUGAGAGUGAGGGAGAUAACGCUGAUGCGUUUGAGCAAGGAGGUACACGAGUAGAGUAGCACCACGCCAUGGAUUCACUGAUUGCAGACCAAGCAAAGAGUGUAGGUGCAACUUCAGUUCAUUCUACAGGAAAGAUGGAUCCACAAGCACCCGGUUGGACAAGAAGGGUGUGAGUUGGGAAACGUCCUGAACAUCCGGUAGAUCAAACUCUGCUCAAAAGUUUUUGUGUUCAGCAUGAAACCGAAUGCUGCAGAACUAACAAGUCAUGCUAAUAUAUCUAAUCUGUCUGAAUCCUCUUGGACCAAGACGGCCAGCUCCUGGUUUGACUGUAGAUCUUGUUCCACGUUGGUGAGGUCACCUUCGAGACCAUCUCCAACUUGACCAUCCACGAAACCAUCCCACUAGCAGCGCGACAGAGCACAUGUCAGUAAUUUAAGAUAUGCAUAAACCUAUAAUUUAUUAGCAUGCGCUGGAUGACUGUUGAUACACUCUUGUGACUUGCAGACACACCAGCUACAUUGCUUGCCCCUGGAAUUGAGCAUCCCCCACUGAAUCCAACUGCAUCAAAAAUUGUCCGACAACUAUUAGAAUUACAUCUCAUGUUUUUAACAUUUCUUCUGUACUAAUUUGCUACCAUUUACAUUAAUGCAUUUGUUACUCACGAAACACUAACCUGCUUCAGCAAACAUUUAACGCAAGAAGAAAGCAACACCGUCAUCAGUGAGAGACACUUCCCCUUCACUGUCAUCAUGCGGCAUGAGCGCCUUAAAUUCCGACCUGGUCACAAGCUACAAACUCCCGCUCCCACGGAAGCUAUUUGUUGAGCACCACCUCCAUCCAUAUCUCCUACGGUGAACCGUGGUAGGGAACAAUCUUCGGCAACUUUACCAGCAUGAUCCAGAUCCAUGUCCAUCCCUGACAGACCAAAACAAUACAAAGAUUGACUUGGCCUAUGCAUGAGAAGAAUAUGUGAAAUGGAUUUUCUUUGAUACAGAUGGCGAGAUUGAAUUUACCCUCAUUGUCUGCAAUAGAAUCAGAUGAAGUACCAGGUUGUUCUUGAACAUAGCCACCCUGUGAGCUGCUCCUGACACAACCUACACUUUAUUGUUAGCAUUGGAUUGAUUUAACAAAUUAAUCAUUCCUACAGAUAUCCUACAUUUAUCUCUAUUUAUCUGUUACACAAAUCAAGUCGCUAGCCAGACACUUACGUGCUUUUAAGCCCGCACAUCUUGCCUCCAUCUUCACCGCACUUUAGGUAAUCUGCUUAAAAGAUGUGAGUUCUUGCCGGAAGGGGUGUUUUGAAGCCCGGGCUCAGCUGCUCCCAUAAUCUGGCUCGUUUGUUUUGGUCUUGGGAUGUGAACAAAUCCAGCUGGCUUGUCAGAUACGAGCAAGGAGAAACAGAAGAAACCAACAAAUACGGUAGGAAACAGUACGCAAGACGGGGACGGCGGGGCGCGGCCUGACGGACGUCGCGGCGGCUGGGUAUGGGCCGUGGACCAGGUCGUCGGCUUUCCAACCAGGACGUUUGCUUUUUUAUUCUGGGCCAAGGAUCAGAUAAUGGGUCCGUGUGGCCGGUAGCAAUUUACGCCGCCUGUCGGUCGUGCGGCAUGAAAUGAAAAAAAAAAGGUAGAUUUGUCCUCCACUAUCUCCUGGUUCGUCCUAGAGGGUCCCCUCGCCGCCGCGGUACCCUGGAGCCUGGUCACCGGGAAAAAAGGGAGAGCGUAGCGGGAGGCCGGCCAACCGGGUUGCGGCGGCGACCGUGCUCCGACGACGGACUAACCAGUGAUGGAGGGGGAGGGUAUGGAGUUUCUAAUUGACGCUGUUGACAGGUUCCCCGUGCGUGAGGAAUUUGCGGACAGCCUUACAACCCAGAUCCAGUUCCACUACUUUUUCUGCUGGAGAAGGGGAGUGCGACUGAGGAUGUGGGUGAGGUCGAUGGCGUCACUGAGCUGACUCAAAUGGAGGAUGUAGGAGCAGCAGCGGCAACGCAACAAGGUGGCCAUGCUUUACGAGCUGAAUCUCCAACGAGGUCUGCUCAAUCAACAGGCAGAGUGAAUCCACAAGCCCCCGGUUGGACAAAAAGGCUCCGGCUUGGAAGUGCACCACCUGACCGGGUGGCUUGCCCGUCGAGGAUGAGCGCACUAGAAAUUUCAAUCCGCAAGUAUGCAGAGCAACCUGAUAAGAGCGUCGUUAAACCUGAGCUGGGACUUAGUUUUGAUUCGUUGGGCAAGGCAUAUAGUUUGGCAGCGGGAACAAUCUGGGCAUCCCCGUUGCCGUGCUGGACUGCAAAUCCAUGCCCCGCUGGGUGCCAUCCCGCUUGAUGCUGCGCAGCAAGGAUCUGCUCGUGGGUCAUCCUCCUGCAGUACGCGCGCUGGAACUCAAAGAAACGUCACUGAAGGGCCUGCCAAAGGAGAAGAGAAAAUCUCAAUCAUUAGCCAGAAACGAUGACCAGCCUGGUUACUAGUCCUCGCGAAGGCGGUCACGACCUCGUCGCUGCAGAGAGGGCAUGCCAUCAAAGGGAGCAGCCAAUCGGCUGGGACAGGAAGGGAAGAUGAAGACGAUGCGGACAUGGCAGCGCGGACGAGAUUGAACAAUGGCGAUGGCCAAGCAGGGGCGAGCUCGGGAGAGUAAAUGGAGAUGGGUGGUGUGCUGGCUAGAGUGAAUGAGCUGGUUGGGCUGGUGAGCAUUUAUGGAGCUGGCGCUCCGACGCCGUUUGUGCUGUGAAUCUUGCGUCAUACGGCUCAUGCAGGCUCAGAUGUGGUGCCGAGCCGUCGCACCUCCAACGGGGCCGCGACGUGCCGUCUCCAUAAAUGCACCUCUGACACGCGAGCCAGAAAAGAGAUAUACGGCCUGAAAAUACAUGAAGACACACAGAUCUUGGCGCAGACCAUCGGUGUGGAUUUCGGGAGCAGCUGAGCCCGAGCUCAGAAUCGAAUUUUCGGUUCUUGCCUCCAUGCGCACCCCCAGCCUUCUCUACUAGUUUUUACAUUGCCAUUUGCUCACUCUUUGCUGUCAUUCGCCAAUCUUUCUUCUAGGCCGGGCGAUGCCAGUUCUACGACUGGCAGGAGGGAUACGAGAUGUACCUGCUUCCUGACAAGGAUGCAGAGGUCACCGACGAGAGCCAUGCCCCCACUACAACAGCUCCACAUGCUGCCGCCCCUGCGGAGAUCUCUUUAGGAGCUCGAGUUAUCCAAGAUCUCAUCAGGGUCAACAUCAUGCUCAGCGUUACCAACCUGAUGGCUACGUUGCUGCUGCUAGCCAUUGGCAUGACUUCAUUCGCUUGGAUGUUCUUCUAUUGCUGAAUCCACCCAUCUCAUGUGUACUAGCUAGACUAAGAACAGGAAAUUUGCAUGUAAUCACACUCUAAUCUCCUUAUAAUCCUUAAGCAAUGUGUGUUGAUGUCAAUCCAUAAUUAAUCAAGUGCGGGGCCACUAAUUUACCAAUUAAUGUGCCGCCACAUGUAGCUUUAUUUUAUUCUGGAGCUCUCU